ACGUAGGGUGCGAGCGUUGUCCGGAAUUACUGGGCGUAAAGAGCUCGUAGGCGGUUUGUCACGUCGUCUGUGAAAUCCUAGGGCUUAACCCUGGACGUGCAGGCGAUACGGGCUGACUUGAGUACUACAGGGGAGACUGGAAUUUCUGGUGUAGCGGUGGAAUGCUCAGAUAUCAGGAAGAACACCGAUGGCGAAGGCAGCUCACUGGAUUGUAACUGACGCUGGUGCGCGAAAGCAUUGGUAACGAAAAG
rnacentral:rRNA from 1 species